UGACACAUGAAUAUGGAGCACAGCCUUCCUGGUGGGGAGGUGUGCUGCUCUGUGUAUGUACCCUGUAUGCUGUUAUAAGACGUGUGUAAACAGACACUCACGUGACUCAGCCAACAACUUCUUUUCCUUAAAGAGGAUGGGUUGAGAAAGUUCAUCCUGUGGCUCUGACUAGAGAAGAUAGAGUCCUUAUUAACCUUUAGAUUAGAAAAAUUAAAUAUAUUUGUUUCCUAGAAUCUAGGUGAUUGCCCAAUAAAUAGGAGGAGAACAAGUUAAAGUUAAAAAAAGAAAAGCAGAUAAAUAGCAGAGCAAGAGGCAGGAUGCAUCAUGCCUCGGUCACUACAUGUUUGCAGGGUUUUGUUAAAGACAAUGGUAUGACGUUGAAACUUGGAUUGCCUUGAGUACACCCUCACAGCGCUGCUCGUGGGGCAAGCAUGCCUGGGAGAUGACCUGGGGCACCACGCCCUGCCUAUCUCAGACAAGGAACUCCAGGCAGCAGUGGCGAAGCUAAGCAGCUCCAUCCUUAAGGGGCGGAGGCCGGCUCAUAUUUGCCUAUUAGGGCCGUGGGACGCCGAGGUUCUGCUGGGUCCCUCCUGGAAAUAGAUCCUUCCCAGCCAGCACCCGAAGUCAGCAGCAGAGGGCAAAGCACCUGGGCUUUAUUUAGCUCCAAGCUCCACGAUCCUCCUGGGACUGAGAUAUCUUUGUCAUUUACCUGGGAUUUACAGGGACCAAAAAGCUGGACAUCAUUCACCACUGGGAACAGCAUAUUGUUCCUGGAAGAGGCAAAAGCCUAGGGCUUCAAGAUGCCGGGGCUUUAAGAAACCAAGGCAUGACCUCAAGUGAUUUGCCGGAGGUGGCCUCGGUGGCAGCAGUCAUUGAAGAAAGGAAGACAGCUGCCCAGCCAGUCUGACAGACCAUACACAGACAGCCCUGUUCACAGGGAGGCGUGGGCAAAGAUUUCAUGACGAAACAUCAAAAGCAAUUGCAACAAAAGCAAAAAUUGACAAAUAUGAUUUAAUUAAACAAAAGAGCUUCUGCACAGCAAAAGAAACCAUCAUCAGAGUGAACAGACACAACCUAUAGAACGGGAGAACACUUUUGCAAUCUAUCCAUCUGACAAAGGUCUAAUAUCCAGAGUCUACAAGGAACUUAAACAAAUUUACAAGAAAAAAACAAACUACCCCAUUAAACAGUGGGCAAAAAACAUGAACAGACACUUCUCAAAAGAAGACAUUUAUGCAUCCAAAAAACACGAUAAAAAGCUCAGCGUCACUGAUCAUUAGAGAAACGCAAAUCAAAACAACGAGAUACCAGUCAGAAUGGCAACUAUUAAAAAGU
rnacentral:lncRNA from 1 species